UGAGUAUGUUCCUCCCCUGUAGUUAGAAGACAGCCUAUCAGAGCAGAGUGCUGCGUAUAUAAAAGCCGCUUGUUGUGCUACCCGGGAUGUGUCAUUGCUAGCUCCGCCCCUUGGUGUGUGUGGGUUUCCGCAUGGAAAAGCUGGAAUAGCUUCUGGUUUGCGGUUUUGCAGUGGUGCGCAGGCUGUCAUUGAUCCCCGGUAAGCCCAGUUUGAUAAACGGUUUAUAUAAAAUUACAUCUGUUUAAGUCGCAUGUUUUGAUUUCAGCUGGCUUGAGUCCACUUUUCGUGUGAAUUGUCAAACAUUAUGCUGUGAGCAAUCAUACAACUUAGGUUAUUGUGACGAAGAUUUGGGCCCUGUAUGAGAAGGCUAGCUGUUAUGAUAUCCUGGUGGUGGUGUUUGGAGCACGAAGUAUGGACUGCUGUCUGAUCACUCACUCCACUGGUGUGUUUGUGUGCGCGUGUGGUUUAACAUUCACUUUACAGCUAGCCUAGUCUGUUUGUACGUUUUAGUCCCUGUUUGACUUGCUGUGGUUCUUUUUUUUUUUUU